rnacentral:lncRNA from 1 species
GGUAGGACGCCCGGCUCGGCUACGCGAGGUCCGUAGUUCGAUCCCUGCCACCGAACACCCACCGGUUUAUAAGACGGGUACAAGCAGCCCCCCGGCCAGGCGUCCGGCCUUCCAGGAGUGCGUUGCUUGGGAGAGGUCCUACAAACUCCGCUGU